GGCAAGAUGGCCGAGUUGGUUAUGGCGCCAGGUUAAGGACAGUCAUCCUUGGCAUCAAUUUCCUGGUGGAGCAAUCCUCCUGGGUUCAAGUCCCAGUCUUGUCA